rnacentral:tRNA from 2 species
GGGCUCGUAGCUCAGCAGCAGAGCGCCUGCUUUGCAAGCAGGAGGCCGCGUGUGCGAUUCACGCCGAGUCCA